rnacentral:lncRNA from 1 species
GAAUGACCAACUAGACAAGGGCUCUUUAUCCCAGGAGUCUUCAAACAAAAUCCUGUCACAGGCUGGGAAAAAAAAGGCCGGGGGAAGAACCUCUUCAUUCCUGAUGCGAGAUGUUGGAAGCGUCUAAAGCUCACAAGUGUUCAGAAAGUAAUUACAUGAAGUCAUGGACUAGAAAUCCACCAGGUGUUAUUACAUACGAAGACACUACUGGGAAAAAAAGUCAAUAUUGGCUUAGAUGAAUCCUUCAGCUGACCUGGGAUACCUGUUCCUUUCUAGAAGUCCCUCACUCGUCUGACUUUUCUCUUCACUGCUUUUCCUCUGAACUGCAUACAUAAUAGAACAGUUAGCAUUUAAAAUUUCAGGGGGUAAAAAGGGCAGUGGGCCUUUCCCUGUCACAAAGCAUUUGGAAGUUUCCUCUCAACUAGUAGGUUUCAGCUGUAAAAAAAGUAGAGUCAGAUGAAAAAUUCAAAGGUUUCA